UCCCUACCGCUCUCUCAAGAAUGCCACCGCCUUAUUUUCUUUUUCUCCUGCGACCUCGCUUCGCUAAUUCGCUCGUCCCGGUUCCCUCCUCCAGAUUGCUUUUUGUUUCUAACCGAUGAUCACCAAGAAUGGAGGAUUCCCUUUUCAAAUCUGGCUCUCUGGCACAGGGGCGACGCUCGGAUCGUUUCAGUCUUUGUAAUCUUACACGCUGGGGUUUUCAUAGCUACCAUGCUCCUCAAUGGAGGACUCCUUUUUUGUUUGCUCGUCCCGGGUCCCUCCUUCAGAUUGCUCCGCAUGGCGGUGCUCAAUUACUUGUUCUCCAUAGAGAAAAAAAUGUCAGUAAAAUUAAAUUUGGAGGAGGAGAGGGCAAGGGCGAAUGGAGGUCGAGGACAGAGUAGUGUGAAGGCGAUGCUACCUGACGACAAUAAAAUUUGGAGGUUAGUGAGGACAAAACAAGCGAAGAAUGCCCUGGUGUCAUCUCCUGUGCUGAUAUUGUAGCCAUUGUUGCUCGUGACUCUAUUGUUCUUUUAUAUUGAAGCUUGGAGGACUUGCCUGGAAAGUAAAGCUGGAAAGAAGAGAUUCAAAGACAGCAUCUAGCUUGGCUGCUGCAAACAUUAAAUCUCCUUUUUCUUCACUCAGCACUCUCAUCUCCAACAUUAAAUCUCACGGCCUCUCUGCUAGGGGACAUGGUUGCCUUAUCUGAUCUUGAUAUUGAUGUUGAGCAUAUCUUGAAGGAUUGCAUGUUUGGUUGUUUGAGAUCACACCUUCAACUUUAAGUGCUUGAAGCACUUUAAAUUAGGUUGCAUCCUCUCCUUCACUCUUACUUAUCAUAUUGCUUGUUGAUUUCUCUGAUUGGGAAUUGUCUAAGUGAGGGGGAGGUAUCCAGUGGGAAAAGCUAAAAAAAAAAAAAAAAAAAAUCCAUUACAUUUAGUUUGGAUUGCAUUUAGGUUUUUUGACAUUUUGAAGCUUUUUUUCUCUUAGUUGUUGCAUUCAUUUAGGUUGAUAAGUUAAGUUUGUCGGGAUUGAAGGCUGUAACAUUUAAGAGUGUAUUUUUGAAAGGGGGGGAGGGGAGUGUGUUUUAAGUCAUUUUGCAUGGUUUUAUGAGUUGGCCAAAAUUUUUCUGAUUCUGUUUUUGAAAAAGCUUUAGAAAAUUAAAUAAAAGUUUUGUUUUGAUUCAAGGAUGCUUGGUUUGAUAAGAUUGCCAAUGAGAUUUGAAGCAUUAGACUUGGAUGUUUCAAGUGUAGCUAGGAUAGGAUAGAAUGUUCUACUUGGUUUGCUUGAGCUAGGGGAUAACAUAGCCCAUAUGGAAGGUUAUUUUGAGCCUAUAUUGAUUCCUUUCUAGUGUGAAUGAUCCACUUAUUCUAUUUCAUUCUUCAGAACUUGUUCUUAUUCUUUAUCAUAGCCAGUUUUGCAUAUGUAUUGUGAAGAUGAUAAAGGCAUUCGUAUAAAAUAGCCAGUCUAGCCAAAUAGCCAACCUAACAUGAUUGUAUCCUUUGCUAGCCACUUUGAACCUAUUGGUUAUUUUCUUUCAUUCCAUUCAUUAUUUACUCCCUCAUGCUUUCCAGGAAUGCAAGUUAUGCUAUAUUAUUGUUGGGAUCCAUUUGCAUGUCUAGUAUUCAAGUUGUGGAUAAUCUGAGUUGUAUUGAAUAUUCGAUAUAAAUUGUGAAUGAAUUGAAGGCGAAAGUUGAAAUGAUUGUUUUGCAGCAGCUAGAAAAAGAAAAGAAAAGAAAAGAAAACAAGGAGAAAAGGCCAAUAAAAAAUUGUCAAAAAGAAAAGAACACAAGGAGAAAAAGCCAAGGGAAGAUUGUCAAAAAGAAGGAAAAAAAAAAAAAGGCAAUAGGCAAUGUGAAAAAAAUGUGGAAAAAAAUAGAAAGAAAGAAAAAAAAAAAGAAGAAAAGAAAUAAGAGUUAUUGUUUGCUUAGUUAUGAAUCACCUUGCUCUUAGUUGAUUAGUAUUGUAUGUUUUCCAUGUCUUGAACCUAGCUUAUGCUUAUGGAUCCCAUGUCAUUGGUUUGGGAAAUAACUGUUAUCUAUGUGUUAUACCCUUUUUCUUUUCACUUGCAUUCCUACAUCCGCUUUUCACCCUUUACAUUACAACCAAAUGAAAGACCUUUUGAUUCAUGUAUGCAUUAUGAUAAUAAGUGGUGGAGAUUUAGAAUAUGUACAAGCCUAUGAUAGAAUGAUUAGAUAAGUGGACUUGAGUGAAAUUUACCCCUAACUGCUAGUGAGAUGAGAGUAAACACUUUUCUUUGUGUGGUUAUCUGCCUAUCCAAGUUUACUGGGUUUGAUUCCUGAAUAUUCUAGUUGCAUGAGAAUCAUUUCAGGUUGAGCAUGGAGAAUCGAAUUGGCAUAAUUAUCAUUCUGAGCAUGAUGAACUCAUUAAUGUUUUCUUGAUGAGUGAUAUUUCUUACCUUCUUUUCACCCUCAUUUUUGUUGGUUUUUGUCACUUAAUCUUCACAAAAAUGAGUAUUUUAAAACACUGAGCUAUGAUUUUGGGAUUUUUAAGGUCAAAAGUUUUGGGCCAAAAUUGUAAUUUUCAAAGAUACGUUCAAAAAAUUCUCAAUUUUUAUUGGUUGAAAGAAUUUGAGUCAUACAUUCCUAGGACGAGUUAAGCUUGAGUUCAUUCUUCCUAGUUAAGGAAUAAAUCACGCAUUGCUUUAACUUAAGACACUUUAAUUACUUAGUUUAGCUACUUCCUUGUUUGCCUUCCAGCUUAUGUGUCUGUGUACUGGGUUCAGAACUAACUUUGGGAAUAAUUGAAGUUUUAGGCUAUGAAAUUUUCUUAUUUAAAUUAACUAACAUUUAUAACAAUUAAUUUUUCUUUCCACUCUACCUCUUUUGUUGCAUGUCUCCCUUCUCUCGUGAUGGAUUUUUUUUGAAGAGCUUGAGUCUCUUCAGUGAACAAGCUAACCUGAGCCUAUGUAAGAACCGAUUGGUAUCAUUGAAGGGCAAGCUAA